rnacentral:rRNA from 1 species
AUUGAACGCUGGCGGAAUGCUUUACACAUGCAAGUCGAACGGUAGAGGGGGCAACCCCUUGAGAGUGGCGAACGGGUGAGUAAUAUAUCGGAACGUGCCCAGUCGUGGGGAUAACGUAGCGAAAGUUACGCUAAUACCGCAUACGAUCUAAGGAUGAAAGCGGGGGAUCGCAAGACCUCGCGCGAUUGGAGCGGCCGAUAUCAGAUUAGGUAGUUGGUGAGGUAAAGGCUCACCAAGCCAACGAUCUGUAGCUGGUCUGAGAGGACGACCAGCCACACUGGAACUGAGACACGGUCCAGACUCCUACGGGAGGCAGCAGUGGGGAAUUUUGGACAAUGGACGCAAGUCUGAUCCAGCCAUUCCGCGUGCAGGAUGAAGGCCCUGGGUUNUAAACUGCUUUUGUACGGAACG